rnacentral:rRNA from 1 species
GUGGGGAAUAUUGGGCAAUGGGGGAAACCCUGACCCAGCGACGCCGCGUGAGGGAAGACGGCCUUCGGGUUGUAAACCUCUUUUGUACGGGAAGAAGGAAGUGACGGUACUGUACGAAUAAGUCCCGGCUAACUACGUGCCAGCAGCCGCGGUAAUACGUAGGGGACGAGCGUUGUCCGGAAUUACUGGGCGUAAAGGGCGCGCAGGCUGUGCUGCAAGUCAGCUGUGAAAUGUCUGGGCUUAACCCGGGCAUGCGGUUGAGACUGCAGUGCUGGGGUGCUGUAGAGGCAAGUGGAAUUCCCAGUGUAGCGGUGAAAUGCGUAGAUAUUGGGAAGAACACCGGUGGCGAAGGCGACUUGCUGGCCAGCAACUGACGCUGAGGCGCGAAAGCCAGGGGAGCAAACGGGAUUAGAUACCCCGGUAGUCC